GGGAGAAUACUCGUAAGGCAACUCGGCAACUUACCAAGAGUUUCAUUAGAGUUAUAUAUCUUGAGUGAGUAAGGCCGACCGAGGGCGCUGUAAAGAAAUAAUAAAGAAAUUUUUGUGACAUAACGCGGUUGUGUGAUGAUGUAUACACAGUGCUAGUGAGAAUGAGCAGCAUAUGUUUUGUGUAAACUGAUUUGUGUUUUGGAUUAUAUACUGUGAAAAAAAAAUUGGAAUAUACUGGUAUAUAGAAAUCACAGUCUGGUGGUGAAGAAAGAUGCAAGAUGGAAAAUGGAGGAGGGGAGAAUGACCCUGUGUCACAGUUGUUCGACCAGUUCUGUCAGCCUCAACAUGUCGUGCCAUCAUCUCAUCAUUUCAGCAGCUCUGUGACGCCGUCGGUCUCAGCCACGCAGAUCAUCG